UUUUUUUUUUUUUUUUUUUAAAUAAAUUUGUUCUGUGGUCAGAGACCUUUUGGUAUUUGGUAGCCACAUUAGGCCAUAAUUAAUCUAGAGUUGAGCUAUUGUUGGAUUGCAUAAGGGAGCUCUCCCAGCCCCUGUUGCUCCCUUAACAAGGCUUGAACUUGAGACCUUGUUUAAUGUUUAUAAAGGCUGUUUUGAGGCUCUCUUCAGUCGGAGGUGAUGCCUUACCCCUUGUCUCAGAACAAAGGGUGUAUGCCUUGUGCAGAUGCCGUGCAUGCCUUGCAUGUGCCUCAGGAUAGUUUUUGAGGUGUCAAUGUGUGGGUUGGGCAACUGGACCUUGAUUGGGGACUCUGGAGACAAGGAUAUUAAUAGUUUGAACUACUCUGUAAGACUAAGAGACAGGAGAUGUUAAUUAAACACUCUAGAAUCUCUGGAAACUAAGAGUUAGAAUUGUAGAACUC